rnacentral:sRNA from 2 species
UAUUUCUCCGUACGGGGAAGGAUGAGAAGCUUCGACUAAGGUUCGAUUCGAGCGCAGCGAGAAAGCGUUGCCGCAGGCAACGACCCGAAGGGUAAGGAGCGGAGCGACGAAUAAUCCUUCCCCCACCACCA